rnacentral:tRNA from 1 species
AAUUUUAUAGUUUAAAAAAAAUAAUGAUUUUGUAAAUCAUAGAUAUAAAAAUUUUUAAAAUUA